UACGUAGGGGGCAAGCGUUGUCCGGAAUCAUUGGGCGUAAAGCGCGCGUAGGCGGCCAGAUAAGUCCGGUGUGAAAGUCACAGGCUCAACCUGUGAAUGCCGCUGGAAACUGUCUGGCUUGAGUCCGGAAGAGGAGAGUGGAAUUCCCGGUGUAGCGGUGAAAUGCGCAGAUAUCGGGAAGAACACCCGUGGCGAAGGCGGCUCUCUGGGACGGUACUGACGCUGAGACGCGAAAGCGUGGGGAGCGAACAGG
rnacentral:rRNA from 1 species